rnacentral:rRNA from 1 species
AUUGAACGCUGGCGGCAGGCCUAACACAUGCAAGUCGAGCGGUAGCACAGAGAGCUUGCUCUCGGGUGACGAGCGGCGGACGGGUGAGUAAUGUCUGGGAAACUGCCUGAUGGAGGGGGAUAACUACUGGAAACGGUAGCUAAUACCGCAUAAUGUCGCAAGACCAAAGUGGGGGACCUUCGGGCCUCAUGCCAUCCGAUGUGCCCAGAGGGGAUUAGCUAGUAGGUGGGGUAACGGCUCACCUAGGCGACGAUCCCUAGCUGGUCUGAGAGGAUGACCAGCCACACUGGAACUGAGACACGGUCCAGACUCCUACGGGAGGCAGCAGUGGGGAAUAUUGCACAAUGGGCGCAAGCCUGAUGCAGCCAUGCCGCGUGUGUGAAGAAGGCCUUCGGGUUGUAAAGCACUUUCAGCGGGGAGGAAGGCGAUAAGGUUAAUAACCUUGUCGAUUGACGUUACCCGCAGAAGAAGCACCGGCUAACUCCGUGCCAGCCGCCGCCGUAACAC